AUUAGUUAGUGAUAUCUCGUUAUAUUUGCCUGUGAUCAUUAAAGUUUGGGUGAUUCAAAUUGAGCCUUGACCUGAGAACUUGAUUCUCACGGAAUCCUGGUGAAUUUGAUCAACCCUAGGUCCUGCAGAUAUUGAUUUUUUAAUACUGAGAUAUGGUUCUUGCCUGUAUUGUUGUAUUUUUUGGUUCUUGUGGUGUUUACAUUAGAAUAUCUACUGAUCCUGUUCUUGAUUGAAAUUAUUUGUGAUUAAAAUAAUUGUGGCUC
rnacentral:lncRNA from 1 species